GGCCUCGUAGCUCAGUUGGCAGAGCAUUGGACUAGUAUCCCAAAGGUCGCAGGUUCGAUUCCCACCGUGGUCA